rnacentral:rRNA from 1 species
GAUUGUACUGUUCGGCACACUCUUCUCUUCGGUUGCGUGUGUAGUGCCCUUAACUGAGUGCUGCACUCGACCGGAAUUUUUACCUCGAAAAAAUUAGAGUGUUCAAAGCAGACCUGAUUAUGUCUGAAUAUUCGUGCAUGGAAUAAUAAAAUAAGAACUUGGUUCUAUUUUAUUGGUUUUCGGAACUCGAGUUAAUGAUUAAGAGGGACAGACGGGGGCAUCCGUACUCUGCCGUUAGAGGUGAAAUUCUUGGAUCGGCGGAAGACGCGCAACUGCGAAAGCAUUUGCCAAGAAUGUUUUCUUUAAUCAAGAACGAAAGUCGGAGGUUCGAAGACGAUCAGAUACCGUCCUAGUUUCGACUGUAAACUAUGCCAGCUAACGAUCAGACAGCGUUCUCUACGACUUGUCUGGCAGUUUCCGGGAAACCCCAGCUUUUGGGUUCCGGGGGAAGUAUGGUUGCAAAGCUGAAACUUAAAGGAAUUGACGGAAGGGCACCACCAGGAGUGG